AUGCAAUGGCGAGCGCUCGUCCUGGGGCUGGUGCUCCUCCGGCUUGGCCUCCAUGGAGUAUUGUGGCUCGUCUUCGGGCUGGGGCCCAGCAUGGGCUUCUACCAGCGCUUUCCGCUCAGCUUCGGCUUCCAGCGUCUGAGGAACCCCGACGGCCCCGCGUCGCCCGCCUCGGGGCCCGUGGGCCGGCCUGGGGGGCUAUCCGGGCCGUCGUGGCUGCAGCCGCCGGGGACCGGGGCAGCGCAGAGCCCGCGCAAGGCUCCGCGGCGUCCUGGGCCGGGGAUGUGCGGCCCAGCCCACUGGGGCUACGUGCUGGGCGGCCGGGGCCGCGGCCCGGACGAGUACGAGAAGCGCUACAGCGGCGCCUUCCCUCCGCAGCUGCGUGCCCAGAUGCGCGACCUGGCACGGGGCAUGUUCGUCUUUGGCUACGACAACUACAUGGCUCACGCCUUCCCCCAGGACGAGCUCAACCCCAUCCACUGCCGCGGCCGUGGGCCCGACCGCGGGGACCCUUCAAAUCUGAACAUCAAUGAUGUACUGGGGAACUACUCAUUGACUCUUGUUGAUGCAUUGGAUACACUUGCAGUA
rnacentral:sRNA from 1 species